rnacentral:rRNA from 1 species
AUUGAACGCUGGCGGCAGGCCUAACACAUGCAAGUCGAACGAGUGGCGGACGGGUGAGUAAUGUCUGGGAAACUGCCUGAUGGAGGGGGAUAACUACUGGAAACGGUAGCUAAUACCGCAUACCAUCGGAUGUGCCCAGAUGGGAUUAGCUUGUAGGUGGGGUAACGGUUCACAUGGGCGACAAUCCCUAGCUGGUCUGAGAGGAUGACCAGCCACACUGGAACGUAGACACGGUCCAGACUCCUACGGGAGGCAGCAGUGGGGAAUUUUGCACAAUGGGCGCAAGCCUGAUGCAGCCAUGCCGCGUGUAUGAAGGAGGCCUUCGGGUUGUAAAGUACUUUCAGCGGUGAGGCGUUACCCGCAGAAGAAGCACCGGCUAACUCCGUGCCAGCAGCCGCGGUAAUUC